rnacentral:lncRNA from 1 species
CUUCAUUAUUACCAAAACAAGAGGCAUUCUAGGUGAGCCAUGACUCCACAGACAGACCUGUCUGGGAUGUGCCUCCCUGAGAAGAGCUCAGCACAAUAUCUGUCUUCCAGAGAGGCUUGUGUGUCUGGUGCAGACAGGACAGACUUGAGGAGCCCCAUCUGCUGCAGUGAGUCAUCGCUUUGCGCCUCCCAGCAGGAUCCACACCUGUUAGCAGGGCGAGAAGAGCGAGCUGCCAGCCUGUUACGCGGCAAUGCUCUCUGUGCACGUUGUAGGGCCAAAUCACAAACAUGAGGCUGCAAUAAAACGCAACAUCUCCGUAAAUCUGUCACCCGCCGGACACGGCUGGAAAUGCCUGGGUCUCACCCUCCUGUGCAAAACUCCCAGCUCAGUGUUAUCAGCAAACUCAGAAAGCCAACAUUUACAAAACCAGCAAGUAUCAGCAGAGUCAGCUAUUGGAAGUACAUGCAGGCAAUUUCAUUCAAAGAACAAUGAGGAAUUCCCUGGUAAAGACCAAACAAAGAAAAUAAAGGAAAAACGGUUCAUCUGAAGAAGAGCUCUCUGACACAUCAGUUAGGAUGGGACACAAGAACGAGCUGGUUUCUCUUACAAAGUUCAACCUGGAUGAUCAAAAAUAGUCAGUGGCCUUUAAAAUCCACAGGAAAAAGGUUUUCUUAUUGAUUUUAUAAUAAUGAUGGACAUAGAUGGGGUGGGCCUAGAAAAACAGAAGCUAAAGCUAUCUAGAAGAAAAAAAAAAUAAUAACAGAGAACAGUAAAUAUAAGAAAUAUAUUUACUGUAAAAAUAAGUAAAAAUAAGAAUUGUUUCCUCAGAUUUUUUUCUGUUCGUGGUACUUGUUUAUUGUCUGUAAUAUUGAAAGAAUGUUCUUGCUCCUUUCCAUUUAUAAUUUACUUUGUGACCAUAUAUUUAUAAUAUUUCAAGCACUUACAUUCUAUUCACACUGUAUUGCUAUUUUAAUGCAAAUGAUUACCAAAUAAUGACUUUCUAUUUAAGAAAUAAUCUCCAUUGUUGCAUGGUCUGCAUCUGAUAACUGAAUGUGACUAAAACUGUGCAUCAAAAGCAGAAGGUGCAGAUGUGUAAGAGGGAUCAAAAUCAAUUACUGGGCUACCUUGCCCACAAAAAAGUGAACUAUUGCCACUGGCAUAUUUUUUAAAAAAAUAUAUAAUUAAUAAUGUCUUUAACAUUAAAAUAAAAAGGAUACCAUUAAUUCA